ACAGUCAGAACACAAUAAAAAAAAAAAAAACACGAUGUGACAUCGGGCAAUAUCUUAUAAAUUCAAAUUAAAAUGUGCGACGUGUAAGUGCUUUUCCUAUAGAUAUAUGGAUUAAAGAACACUCGCUGCCGAAAAAUGGUGCUGUUGUGGGCCUAGUUCAAUUAUAUUGCAAAAGUAAAACUUAAACUUACUUGAUUGACAAUGUACAAUGUUCGAGACAUUAUUAGAAGAAAAGAUGAAUCAGUAAUAGCGAAGCUUAGUUUAUUGUAAUUUUUUGUUUUCAGUACAAGGAAAUACAGUCUAUACAUUAUGAUAUUAACAAAUUUGUAUUUAGUUCCAAGUGGGCUUGUUUAUUGAUUAGUCGGCGGCAUCAAUUCAUGCAAACCGCUAUGUCUUUUCCGUCCGUAAAAAAGCGUUCCUUAAUCCAGCGAAACAAAACUCUGAUCGACGAUAAAUUGUAGCUAUUUGUGUAUUGAUUGAUUAAAAACUAGGCAUCUUAGAAAAUAUUGAACUUCCAAAUUCCGCAAAUAAAGUAACUGUUCUCACUACGAGCCAGUUUAUUGGUUUCGAGGUUUCAGUACGUUUUAAGAUGGCGGAGUAUUAUUAUGAAGGACUAUUCGGAUCGAUCCAAGCUAGACCGGCGUAUGCAACCAAUGUUUGUUCUGCCGCAAUAAACAUCGUCUAUUUCGAGUGGUCCGACAUGAUUCGAUUCGUCACUAUAUGAGAACGAUGAAACACGCUCGCCCUAUAUAUCGUUAUAUUUACUUGGUAAUCUUCCCGCUGCGUUUGUAUUACUUUACCAGUAACUCAACCUGUCAUUGUUAAUGGUAUUCAACCUGCUAUUGCAGCGCACUACGACGAUAUGUUGCAUAGAGUGUAUACAGUCAGGAGUUGGAAUGCUGGUCAUGAAUUUCUGAUGCCAUAUUGAAUUCGAUUGAACUUGUCUCGUAUAUAAUACCGAGGUAUCGAUUGUUUGAAUACACUAGUGAAGUCGAGGAAAAUUUUUUCAAAUGUUGAAUGUCUAUUUAUUGAUCUGAUGCACGGCGUAUUCUAUCACACAUGGGCGGCGUUGCUGGGAAUGUAAAUCGUGACCCUGACUGUCGUCCUUUUUGACGUCACGUGCGUUUCCUCACACGUAAUUACUUAAUCAAUUCAUCAAAGUUUUUGACAUGUUUUAAUAAAUAGCAAAAUUUGAAUGCAGAGCAUGCGAAUGAUUAGCGUGAAGCGAUGAAUUAGAUGGGAAUUGGCCAAGGAAUGAAAAGUCUUAGAUGGUAGAAUUGCAGUAAAUGAAACGAUUUAAAUAUUAUUAUGUAACGAAUCAUAUAGUUCAGCUAUGAAUCCAUAUAGCAGAAUACACAGGAUUUGCUUCUCAAUGUAUAAUAGCGCGAGGAAUUCUUGUUUUGUUUGCAAAUCCGAUUUUAUAAUGACUUCACGCGGAGAGUAGCAUAAAAUUGAUAGGCAAGAGUAAACUCUAGAAUAGAUUAUGCCUCUUAUCAAUAUUGAUUAUAUAUGUACAGGCUAGUUGCCGCUAGUAAAUCAUUCGUUUGUUUCUAACGAAUUCGAUAACUUAAAAUACAGAAUGUUUUCUAUUCCACAAAAGAACUCAGUGUAUCAUAAGGAAGCAAUUUAAAAUUGAUCGCUUGUUUGGGUUAUUUAUUGCCAAUUUGUAAUGGUAUGAAUAAUUAAAACAAGUGUUUGAAUAAUGAAAAAGAAUUGGAUCCGUUGCCAGUGCUGUCAUACGAUUGCACGUGCCGCGACUUUUUCUGUAUGCCGUGAUCAUGAUUCAUGACGCUUCUUCUAAUAUCACGUUCUGUGAUGGAAUAGGGCUCGUGUACAUUCCUCAUGCAAUUGUUGCAAAAUUCACAUAUGUUAUUAAUUAGGUAAUUCUAUUUGUCCGCAGUUUGACACGGGCCACGUUCACAACAUGGUUCGAUUCCGAUUUAAGCGUAUGUGUAAAGUGAAAUUCGAGCCCGAAAAAUAAAACGAACGAGGUUCAGCAUGUUUGCUUUUAAAAACUCGGAAGUUUUAUGAACAAAUAUAUGACCAUCGAGAACUAGGUUAUUCCGAGAACGACAAGGGAAGAGAAUGAAUUCAACCAUUACAAAAUCUCAUUAUAUGUGGCAGACUCGUACAUAAAGCAUACAUGAUUAGAGAUAGAACUGAGACGUGGUCGUCAUACAUAAAUGAUUAAGUCGUCUUCUUACAUCAUCAGAAAUGACCCAAUUACCUUCUGAUAUCUGCAUCUGCUACCUAACACACGCAUAUCCAUCGAAAAUUGUUCCUCCAAUUAUUAGAUGUAUGCUUGGUCAGACAUCGAUCUGUACCAACUUCGUAUCUGACUGUUAUUAAACCCUAUCACGCAUGAUCGUAUUAUCACAACGCGAACACGGGUGUUGAUAAACCUUUUUUAUUAUUAUUUGGAUCGGUAUAGGAAGGGUACAACACAUUACAGUAAAAACCUUUAUAAUUUCUGAUUGAAUGUUCUUAUGACGAUGAAUAUAGUCUUGUGGAAAACACUAUAUUGAUUAAUGUUUUCGUUUAUUUCCUGCAUUGGAAGCACUCUGUUAUCUGCUUCCGCCCCAUCGAUACAUUUUAUAACACUUUUCAUAACAAAUGUGUUACAUAUAUGACAGUUUCUACCAUAACCUUAAGGUUCUAAUAAGUUACUUUAUUGUUCAGUUUUCACAGUAUAGUAGGUUUCAUUUAAUAUAUGUGCAUGUUUAAAAUAGAAAAGGUUUUUACAGCUUUUCAAUCUGCAAAUUGGGCAAUGGAGCAUAAAUCAUGACUUUGAUCGAAUAAUGAGUUAGUCAUUGAUCUUGAGGAAAAAAUUUAAAUAUGAAACAAUUUACUAAUGAUCUUAAACAGCAAUAUCAUAAAGAAUGUGAAUGUGAGUUUGAUAAAAAAUGGAACAUUAUUCUUCUACUGGCUGUGUUAUUCAUCACUGCUGGGACGAUAUUGGUACUUCAGCGAACACCAGAAAAAUCGACCAAAGACAAUGAUACUGUUGUAAUUGAAGAGGAAUAUAUAGUAUAUUUUAUCGGUGGAAUUUCUUUGUUUGUAACUGGAUUUAUAUUGGUUGUGUUAUGGCUGGUCAAGCUACAAUGUGGCAAGACAACAUCUGACAAUAAAUUAAACUAUGAUCAAAAGUUGCAGAUAGAAGAAAACAAAUACCGCGGAGCCACAAAAAAUAUAGAUGAAUACGGGCUGUCUGUAACAAUAAUUUAAGAGUAAUGCGUCAUAGUAGACAACCGAGGCACGAGUUUGCGAAAUAGCAAUUUUCUCAUAUUAACAGACAAAAGACAAACAGAUGUUUUCUUGUUCGUCAACGACACCUAGAGGAUUUUCACUCCGGUUACUUCAAGUAAACAGACGAAGCAAACCAAACAAACUUCAAAAAAAAAAAUAUAUAUAAAAUAAAGUGAAAUUAGUACAUUUACUAACAUUACAUUUGAAACAGGAGCAAAGAAGUGACUGAAAGCAUCUGGCGCCCAUCAACAGCCUAAACCGAAAAAGUUACAUUACAGUUAUUGUCUUCUAACUCAACUGGCGGACCGCGGUCCGAAUUCGAACCUUUUGGGCAUUCGAUUCGGAUCGCUCCUAAUUUUUUUAUUCUUGAUCAUUAGCCCUACUUUUGAAGUUUCCUCUUAUAAAAUCACUUUUAUAAAUUUAAAUAUCUAUGAAAAGAACUAUAACGCCAUAAUAAACAAUCUUGAUUGGCUAAUAAUUAUUAGUCGGCCGCGGAAGUGCGUGUUUAAGAUGAGAAAAUAUAAUUCCUGGAAAGACCGGAACCAAAUAUUUUUGAAGUUUUGUAUGCGUACCAUCGGUAAAAAUAGCUGAGUAGGCCUGUUCUAGGUAACUCCGCAUUUAAUUUGUUAUUGUUAUAAUUUUAUUGUUUGCAAAAGCGAUUAAAAUGAAAUUUAUU